GCCAGCUUGGCAUAGUGGUUUGAGUGUUGGAUUGUGACUCGGAGACCAGGGUUCGGUUCCCAGCUUGGCC